GUCAUAGUCAGUACAUUCAUCUCCAGAUAGCUAGGUGGACCAGUCAUAGUCAGUACAUUCAUCUCCAGAUAGCUAGGUGGACCAGUCAUAGUCAGUACAUUCAUCUCCAGAUAGCUAGGUGGACCAGUCAUAGUCAGUACAUUCAUCUCCAGAUAGCUAGGUGGACCAGUCAUAGUCAGUACAUUCAUCUUCAGAUAGCUAGGUGGACCAGUCAUAGUCAGUACAUUCAUCUCCAGAUAGCUAGGUGGACCAGUCAUAGUCAGUACAUUCAUCUUCAGAUAGCUAGGUGGACCAGUCAUAGUCAGUACAUUCAUCUUCAGAUAGCUAGGUGGACCAGUCAUAGUCAGUACAUUCAUCUCCAGAUAGCUAGGUGGACCAGUCAUAGUCAGUACAUUCAUCUUCAGAUAGCUAGGUGGACCAGUCAUAGUCAGUACAUUCAUCUUCAGAUAGCUAGGUGGACCAGUCAUAGUCAGUACAUUCAUCUCCAGAUAGCUAGGUGGACCAGUCAUAGUCAGUACAUUCAUCUUCAGAUAGCUAGGUGGACCAGUCAUAGUCAGUACAUUCAUCUUCAGAUAGCUAGGUGGACCAGUCAUAGUCAGUACAUUCAUCUCCAGAUAGCUAGGUGGACCAGUCAUAGUCAGUACAUUCAUCUCCAG